rnacentral:ncRNA from 1 species
UUACUCACUCAUAAUCAAGAGCUGCCCACGUGAAGCGGUUGAAAAGCGUAUUGCAGGCCAUGCCAUAAGCCGUCUCACAAUUUGUGUGGUUAUUACUAUGCUUAUUGCUAUUGCAGUAAAUGUACGGUGUGGGAGCCGUUGACGA